rnacentral:lncRNA from 1 species
AUAGAUUGGGCGUUUUGCUUUCUCAUUGAUCCAAAAACCAAACAAAAACUAAACAAUAAAGAUACAGGUCAAAAAACAACAAAACACGACCAAAAAAACCUCCCAAAAUGAAACAAUAAUUGAAAACAAAAAUAAUAGAAAGAUUACGCAAAAACCAAACUGGGACGAAUCUAGAAGCAAUAAGGCACCGUCCCUUACACCAAAUCAAAUGCGUUGCUUUUUCUCCAUCCCAACAAGUCUUCAAUGUUCACAAUUGAUGGUUUCACAAAAAAGGAAAGAGCAUCCAAUAGAUAAACCAAACGUCUAAAAAAAAAUCCUUACCCCUAUUCAAUUUCCUUCCCCUCCCCUUUCAAUCUGGUUCUCUUGUCCUCCCCCUCACCCUCUUGGUAUCAACAGUCGAAGAAGCAUUCCCCUCCAGGUAAAUCGAUUUCCCCCCUUUUAGCUUUUCUGUCUCAAAAACAUGAGCAAAUUCAUUUGCUAGUCUUGGAACAUGAUUGAAACUGAUUUCUUGAAUAUUAUUCUUCGCAUGUUGAAUAUUUCUGAUGUAAACACCAAUCAGUUAUUUAUCAAAUAUCAAAGACUUAUAUUUCUUAACUAUUGUUAGGGGUGAGCAAAAUUCGAUUUGAUUCAAAAAAAUCAGAAAAAAAAUUCAAAUUUCAAGUUAAUCGAAUCGAGUUAUUCAAGUCAACUCAAAUAAGAAAUUUUAGAUUUCGAGUUCGAGUUGAGUUGAAUUUUUACAAUUCGAAUAACUCAAAUAAUUCGAAUAAUAGAUUAGUAUAAAUACCGUUUUGGUCUCUAUCAAAUUGGUCUUUCUCUUAACAAAAAUUACAAAAAAAGUAAUUUUUAAAUUUUGAAAAUUAAAAAUAUUUACAAAAAUUCUAAAAUUUAUAUUUUAAAAAAAUUAUAAAUUUCAAAAAUAUAUAAAAAUUUUAAAAAAUAAUUUUAAAAAAUAAUAAUUUUGAAAUCUAAAUAAGUGAUUAGUGAUUCAAGUUUAUCAUACUAAAAUAUCUUAUUAUUAUUAUUAUUUUGCUUAAAAAAGGUUUUCAAAUAUAUAUUGUUUCAAAUUUAUGUGUUCUAACAUGAAAAUAGUUAUAUUGUAUAAGAUUUUAAUUUAACAUUAUUAAUUUUUCUAAUUUAACUCGAACGGUUUCAUUCGAUUCGAUCGAACGUUCACCCGUAAUUCGAGUUAUCCAAAAAUCUAAAUAAGAAAAGGUAAAACUAUGUCAUUUCAGUAAAUGUUUACCUUUUCUAAAGUUAAAAGUUAAAGCUAUCAAAUUAAAAGGCAAAACUACAUUGUUUUGAUAAAUGUUUACCCAUUAGUCAUACUUUCCUUCCUGAAUCGUCCCACUCUCAUUUUUUCUUUUACUCAAAAUUAAUCUAAAAGUUUGUAUUUUUCUACUAGUAAAAUAAUCUGUCCAUGUAAAUAGAACAUUGAGUAUAAAUAAUAAGAUUCGUUAAUUCGACUCGAUUCGACUUAAAAUUUUUCAACUUGAUUCGAACAAAAUUUAAAUUGAGUUUGAUUGCUAAAAGAGGAUUCGUCAACUCGACUAACUCGAAAUCUUUUGACUCGAUUCGACUCGGCUCAAUUGAAUACUCACCCCUAACUGUUGUUAAUGAAUCCCCUUCGAUAAUGACUCGGCUCCAUCAUUUAUCAACACCCACAUUCACUGCAAGUUGACACGUUAAAGCUUCACCAGCGAAGGCAGACGCUACUCCCUCAUGGAAACUCGUACAAGUGAAGAGUACUGUUCCACCCUUAUCCCUAGCAACCACUCUUGACGCCGAUCGAAAACUUCAGCCAUUAGAAGCACCAUCAAACUUUAUUUUGAUGACUGAACUCGUCGGAGUUAUCCAAGUAACUGCCUCCUUACUCUUUGUACAAGUAUAUUUCUCUAGCCCUUCAAGUUCUCUUACAUAGCUAGAAAUAAAAUUUGCAGUGUCUUUACCUGUAAUGACUUUCUUUUCAUGAACCCUUCUGUUUCUGUCCUUCCAAAUAGCCUAGAGUGCACAACAAAGUAACUUCCUCUGAUGGGUGGUACAAGAUUAAAAAUCCAGGUAAGCCAAUGUUUAAACUCCAGACCCUAAUUAUUCAAAAAUUGCAGGCAGUAUAACUCUGACCAAACAUAACUGUUAUAGGACAUUGCUGGAACAGAUGAUCCAUUGAUUUGUCCACACCUCCAUACUGAGGGCAGCAAGAACUUCUCAGACUUUAAGUUAGCAAACGUAGGUAGAUAGUUCCAAGAAAUCCUCUAGAGUGUAACUUUAAUUUUUCCCGAGAGGUCUAGUUUCCAUAAGAGCUUAUAGAAAUCACUAGAUCUGGUUUGUAAUGCAUAAGCACUAAGAUCCUCCAAAAUUUUUUAUAAUAGUUUGUAGGCGCUACGAACUGAGAACUCCUCCGAAGGCUUCCCACCCCAGAUCAGAAAAUCUUCAUAUACGUCUUGAGCAAAUGGAAUCUGAAGAAUAUGAUCAGCAUCCAACUGCAUGAAAGUAUCCUUAAUUAACACCUACUUCCAGCUUCAAUCAUUAGUAUCAAUUAACUCUGACACCAUUAAAUUUUGCAAAAUUCGACUAUUACUGUACACUCUAAAAUUUGCAUUACCAGGAAUCCAUGCAUCAUCAAAUAUAGAGAUUUUAUUCCCCAAACCCAGACGUCAACAUAAGCCUUCCUUUAAAACCCUUUUAGCCAUCUAAAUUCUUUUUCAUGUGUAUGAUGGAUUAGUCUCUAAUUGAAAAUACAUAAAAUCAAAUCUUGGGAAAUAUUUAGCUUUCAACACCCGAGUAAUAAGUGAAUUUGGACGAUUUAUAAUCCUCCACCACUGUUUGGCCAGCAAAGAAAUAUUAAACUUUCCUAAAUCUCUAAAACCCAUCCCUUCAUCCUCCUUCAACUUACAUAUAUGCCUCCAUUUACACCAAUAGAUCCCAUGCCUCCCUUGUCCUUUUUGCCACCAGUAUUUCGCUAUAAUGCUUUCAAUUUCACCACAAAAAGACUUAGGCAAUAAGAAACAUGACAUUGCAUAAGUGGGAAUUGCUUGCAACACAGAUUUUAUAACACCCCUAACACAUAUCCGUCGCCGAAACAGGGUUUCAGAGCGUUACUGAAACAUUCAAAACAUUUUACAAUCAACUCAUGCAAGUUACUAUUUAUUUAUCGAGAUCAUUCAUAACGUCCCUAGAUUGGACCCUCGAGGCCCAAUACGAGCAUUAGAAUCAAGUCGGGACUUAAUUGGAACGUUUAAAAAUUUUUCGCAGCUUUUCAAAAUUUUUCCAAGGUGCAGGGCUCACACGCCCGUGUAACCCUCGAACACGCCCAUGUUAGAGGCUGUGUUUGACCCUGUGUAACUUUUUAACUUGCACACAAGACCAUGCCAUACGCCCGAAUGCUAGGCCAUGUAGCACACACGGCUGAGACAUACGCCCAUGUCUCUAUCCGUGUGCUCAAUUCAGAGCAUUCUGUUUCUCAAAAUUAAGGUGCAGGGGACACACGACCUAACCACAUGCCCGUGUUACCAGGUCGUGUGUCACACACGGUCUAGACACACGCUCGUGUGUCUGUCCGUGUGGACAAAAUAAAGUCAUUCCUAGCUUCACCUCUCACCCCAAUCUUUGCUAUAAUCUUACACCACAUCUUGCAUUCAUAACCCAACAAAUCCAAGCAUUUUAUUCAAGUUAAUUCUAUCAUUUAACGUGAUAUAUCGUCACAUACAAUUACUAACCAUUUCAAACAUUCUAAUCAAGCAUAUUCCAUCCAUCAUCAUGACAUAACAUUUCAUGCAUACAUGUUUACAAUCUUACCUUGGUUAUGUCCUCAUGUUAGACAUAAUUUGAUCAACUACUUAACAUAUAUGCGAUUAAUAUAAUAUGACAUUACAAGUAUAUCAAAACAAUCAUUACUAUCCAUUUUAAUGGCUAGAUUACAAGUAUCUUUACAUUUACAUGCCCAUAUGGCCAACAUAUCCUAUACAUGCCAUUACAACCAUAAUUGAAUUAUCAUACUAUACCGACAUGGGCUAAUGGAUAGUGUGAGUGAUCUCCGCCGAGCUUCUAAUCCAACAAGCUUCUAAUUUACUCUAAAACAAGGAAAAUAAAACGGAGUAAGCAUAAAAAUGCUUAAUAUGUUUGUAUAACAUGGUACUUAACUUACCAUUCAUUCAAUUAUGAGGUAACUAUGUAAGGCAUAAUCAAUCAAUUUGCCCUCAAGCUCUACACACAUUCUCAUUACCCUUAUUAGUCAUAUAUUUUAAAAUAACAUCAAAACAUAUGAUGGCUUAACAACAAUCAAGUUUCCAAGCACAUAAGCUUCCCAUAACAUGUAUUCAUUCAACAUGCAUAAUUCAUUUUAUUAUUACAAGUAUAACUUCAUAACAGUUCGUUUCGAGAUCAGAUCAUUUCAUGUCAGGACUUUACGCAUUUAUUCCAGUAUUAAGGUCACACAAGUAGUAGUACAUUCAAGGUAUAUGGGACUAUGAUCAAGGAUGAAACAUUCUCAACAAGUAAUUUCCAUAUACAAAUAUCAACUUCUUGUAUUUCAUGUAAUAUUCAUUUCAUGUCAUAUUUCUAUAUCAUAUGUAUCAUUCCAUGUCAAUUUGUUUUAAAUUCAUAUUUUCCCUUGUCAGAUCUUUACUUGUUAAAUUUAUUCGAAAUAUCAAUAAAUACACAGGUAGUACACCCAAGGUGUACAAAUCAGAAUCCGUUAAUUCAUGUCCAAUAGUACCCUUAAGGUACCAUUUUCAGAGAAUACACUCUCAAGCUACCCAUGUAUACAACAAGAUUACCAGUCCAGGCUAAAUCCUUUUUAUGUCAUAUGCUCUAAAGAGCUUGAUUUAGAUUACUCGUCUGGGCUAAAUCCAAUCCAUAAUAUAUGCUCGAGAGGACUUAUGUCAAGAUUACCCGUCCGGGCUAAAUCCUAUCAGAAUUGAAGUCGAAUGAUUACUCAUCCGAGCUAAAUCUUAUCUGCAACAAAUGCAUGACCUCUUUCGUUUCGGGAAAUCACAUAUCCAUCGAUUUUUUAUUUAUUCUACAGGGGUUUAAACACUUUUCAAGCAUUAUCUAGCAUUUGAUUAUUUCAUACCUCACUAACAUUUAUGUAAUUCGAGUAAAAUACAUCCCACAUUCAUGUCAAGCAUACAAGUAACAUUUUAUUCAUUUACCAUUUUAUCGGGCAUUUUCAUUUAUCAGGCUAUAUCGAGUAGGUGAUCAUUUCAUGUAUUUAUGGCAUUUAUAAAAUUCACAAACACAACAUUUAAAUCAAGCAUAACAACAUAUACAAUUUAGUUACACGAACUUACCUUGACAAAGAUUCGUGUACGUAAACUUUACUAAUCCGACAUUUUCCUCAUUCCUUGUUCUAACUCUGAAUUUAGUUUAUUCAGAUCUAUACAAGUAAAUUUAACAUCAAUUUAUCACAUUCUAUAUUCAUGUGGACCAAAUUUUCAUCCUAGACAAAAUUAUCAUUUUGCCCCUAACUUUUAUAUAAAUUCUAUUUUCAUCCCUAGGCUUGGAAAAUGAAAUUCAUGAAAUCCGACCCUUUAAACAAGCCUAGCCAAAUUAUACAUACAACUUUUACAGGACAUACAUUUCACACAUUUCAGCAUUUUCCAUGGAUUUUCACCAUUUUUCAUUUUAGUCCCUAAAUCAAGUUUUCAUGAAAAAUCACUUUGUAAAAGUUAUUUAUCUUUCAUCAAUCUUUCAUUUUCUACCAUAAAUUUCAAAUCUCAAGCAUAUACAUCCUUGGACCAAUUUUUAUACCAUGAUAACUUUUCAAAUUGAUCCCCCAAAUAGAUAGUUUAGGCUAUCCCGGUUUCAAAAAUAUCAAAGUUACUAAAAAUGGGACAAGGAAACUUAUGCAAUUUGGCCAUGAAAGUCUCUUCUCUCUCUCCUAGGGUUUUCAUGUUUAUUUUGGGGAAGAAGAUGAGAAAAUAUGAUUUUUAUUUUCUUUUCAUCUUUUUAAUUAAUUAAUAUUUUCAUUUUUCAAUUUAGUCCCUAGCCAUUUUGUCAUUUUUCAUGGAUGAAUCAUCCAAAAAUAUCUACAUACUUUUUAUUAAUGGUCUAAUUACCAUAUAAGGACCUUAAUUUUUGAAUUCCAUAGCUAUUUGAUCCUUCUAGCUACUAGAAUUUAACUUUUACAUUUUAUGUGAUUUGGUCCUUCUCAUAAUUAAGCACAUAAUCAGUAAAAUUUUCUUUUCAAAAUUUUCACACGACAUUUCUAGUAUAAUAUGGAUCAUAUAAUAAAAUAAAAAUAAAUUUUAUUUUUUCGCUCAAAUUUGUGGUCCAGAGACCACUGUUCUGAUUUCACCGAAAUUGGGCUGCUAUAGAUUUAAUAAAGAUUUUCAUUCCCCCUUAUGACAAGAGCCUUGUACUCCAAUUCUUGAUUCUCACCUUAAUCCUAUCCUUUAAACUUUAGAAAGAUGCUUUUCUAUUUCUACCCACCAUAUUCGGCAACUUUAAAUACUUUUUAACAUUACUUGAAAAACACACUCUCAUCAAAUUUGAAACCCGAUUCUUCUCCCUCUCAAUCACAUUUGAGCUAAAGAAUAUUGAUGAUUUACUAAAGUUCACACUCUGGCCAGAACAAAUUUUAUAUUCCUUAAGAAUAUAUUUCAAUAAGAGAGCAUCUAUGGUUGUUGCCUUCCCAAAAAGGAUACUAUUAUCUGCAAACAAAAGAUGUGAGAUUCUAGGCCCUUAUCUACUAGCCUGUACCCUUUUUAAAAACCUCCCCUCCAUAGCCAACCUCAUCAAGGCUGAAAGUCCUUCACUGCAAAUGUGAAAUAAAAAAUUACUAAGAGGGUCCCCUUGACAAAGGCCUCUUGAAAGCCAAAAACGUCUUCCCAUGCAACCAUUACCGAAUAAGAAGUCAAAGAAAUACAUCUUAAAAUGACCCUACCCAAUCAACAGCAAAACCCAUCUUUCACAUUAUAGCCUCUAAAAAAGUUCAUUCAACCCUGUUAUAGGCUUUACUCAUAUCUAACUUUACUGCCAUAUAGCCCUUCUUACCAGUACGCUUUUGGCGAAAAGUGUGCAUUAAUUCAUAAGCAGGUAAGACAUUAUCAAAAUCAAUCUCCCCAUUACAAAAACAUUUUGAGCACAAUCGACAUAGUUCCCAGAAACAUUCUGAAGUCUAUUUGCUAAAAUUUUUUCCUCAAGUUCAUAUAAAAUAAUACACAGGUUAAUGGGUCUAAAAUUUGUUAAGUUUUUGGGAUUUUGGGUUUUUGAAAUAAAAACGAUCUCAGUAACAUUUGCAAGUUCAAAAUCAUUACCUUCAUUAAGAACACUCAAACAGUAAGCAAUAACAUCCUUCUUAACUAUAUACCAGUACUUCUGGAAAAAUAUAGCUGGGAAACCUUGGAGCUUUUGUGGGCCUCAUUUAUUUCAAAGCUAUGUAAAUUACCCCCUUCGUGAACUUUGCUAAAAGGAAGAGAUUCUCCUCUUAAGAGGUGCUUAUAUUAAUCCCUGAUAAAAUAUGUGACAAAUCCCCAAUCUCAUUCGAAGAAAAUAGAUUUUGAAAAUAAUCCGUAGUAAGGUCCCCAAUCUCAACCUCUAUGCUUGCUAACGUACCAUCUUCACACUCCAAACUUCCAAUGGUAUUUUUAUUUUUUCGAAACGAAGCAUAUCUAUGGAAAAAGGCAGUGUUUUUAUCACCUAAACGAAGCCAAUUAGCUCUCACCCGCUAUUCUCAAAAAAGCUUCAUCCUUAUCAAGUUCAAAGUUUAAUUGAAUCUUGACAUCAAUGAGUGCAACCAAAUUAUCAUCAUCUCGAUCCUCAGCCAUAAAAUCAUCUAAUUUUUUAGAGAUGGCAUACUUCAAUUUAUUACGAUUCUCCUAAUCUUUUUCUCCCAAUUAAUCAAACUAGUACUCAAAUCUUUUAAUUUUUCAAAGAUAGAACCUCUGGUCGAAUUCCAAAGUUUCGUAAUUUCUCUUUCAAAAGACUCCUCUAAUGUCUACCACACCUCAAAUUUAAACAUAGUUGCUUUGAUUUUCCUUGAUUCUCUAACAGUAUUAAGAAGGAUCGGGCAAUGAUCUGAGACAGAAUGCGGUAGAUGUUUGAUUGUCGUGUGAGGGAACAUGCUCAACCAAUCCUCAUUAGCAACCCCCUGUCCAAUUUUUCCUUAAUAUUUGUCUUAGGUAAGUUUUCACGCUCCCAAGUGAACCAAUUUCCCAAAUACCCCACAUCCCCUAAUUUACAAUCAUCAAGUGCUCUUCAAAAAGACUCCAUUUUGCAUGCCUCCCUUGGUACCCCACCAACCUUCUCGAAAGAAUAUAAAAUUUCAUUGAAAUCUUCGCACACCAUCCAAGGAAAAUUCUUAUCAUUCCCUAACCUUCUUAAAAGAUUCUAAGUUUCUUCUAUAAAACACGCAUAAGGUGUACCAUAGAAACCUGUAAAGUGCCAUAACUCAUCAUUAAAAUUUUAUUUUAUGAGAACAUCAAUGUGAUUUUUUGAAUAACUCCUCAACUCAACAUUAACGUCCUCCUUCCAAGCCAAACAUAACCCACCCCUUGAACCAGUCGUCCCCACUUCAAUUCCAUAAUUAAAACCACAACGCCGUCUCACAUUCUCCAUUCUAUUUUCAUCAAUUUUAAUCUCCAUAAAGAAGACCAAACGGGGUAAUAAAACUUCACCACUUGUCAAAGUCUUCGUACUGCCUGUGGACUCCCCAAUCCACUAACAUUACUAUAACAGCUCGUUUUUCAGUAGUGUCAAAACCAAUGGUUUUGGAGCCAAAAAUCUGACGAGUAACUUCGUAAAUAUUAUUUAUGAAAAUUUACGAGUCAAAUAUGGUUUUAAAAAAGUUUUUGGUUUGGUAAAUUUUAUUAUAUGAAUGAUUAAUUAAGUUCAAGUGGUAAGUCCCUAAAGUCAAGUAGUUUUAGAAAAUGAGGUAUCGAGACCUCAUUUUUAUAAACCAAUCCAUAAAUAUAUGUAAGUGUUAUUAAGGUUGUAUUAAAGUUUAAUUAAGAAAUUUUAAUGUUUAGAUAGUUAAUUAAGUAAAAAGGAUUAAAUCGUAAAAGAUAUAAAAUUUGAUUACUAUUUGAUUUGAGUGAUUAAAUGGCUUAUUGAAUAAAGAAAAAUGGGCUUAAAUGGUAAUUAAACCAUUUAAAAAUUUAGUGGAUGGUUUUGGGAAACUAAAAGCAUGAAAUUUGGAUGAUUUUUAAUGUGGAAAAAGUAGUAAUUUUAUAAUUAAAUUAAAUUAAAUAAAACCAAAAGCUUAAUCAUCUUUUCUAAUUCUUCUUUCACCGAAUUUGGAGAGAAAGAAGCCAUUUCUAAAGGCUUUUAAGGUCUGGCCAUGCUUCAAUUCAUGCAUGGUAAGCCAUUUUUCACCAAUUUUUAAUAAUUUUUAUGUUUUUGAGAUCAUUGCAACUAGGUCUAGUUAGCCCGUACCUUUGAUUUUGAAACUGCUAAAGAUAUUGAAUGUUGCCAUUGAUGAACCUGUGUGAUUUUAGUUAUUAAAUGAUGAAUUUGAAAUGUUAGUUGAUAUUUUAAAAGUAUUUUGUUAAGUAAUUUUGAUGAAUUUACCGAUUAGGGACUAAGUUGUUGAAAUAGUAAAAAUACAAGGAUUUGUUGUGAAAUUAUUACAAAUGUGACUGUAUUGGGUGCCAUGAAUAUUCGAAUAAUAUGAAUUUGAUAAAACAAAAUGGUUAAUUUGCAUGUUUUAGGCUCAGGGACUAAAUUAAAAAAAUAAAAUGUUAGGGGAAAUUAUGUAAAAAUGUCAAAAGGACUAAAUUGUAUAAAAUAAAUUGUUUUACUAUCUAAAUUAAUAAUUCCAUUCUAAAUUAUUAAUUCCAUUCAAUUUAUUAAUUUAGAUAAAGAUCGAGUGGAAAAUCGAGGAGAAUAGAAAAUUACCAAAAAGCCUAUAUACUUUGACAUUUUUGCAAUUUAACCAGGUAAGUUCGUGUUACAUGUAAUAUGUUAUAUUAGAUUCUUGAUAUUUAUUUUAUUCUAAUAAUCGUGGUGAUUAUAAUUAUUGAAUGAUGGUUGUUGAAAAUUAAUAAUGAAAUUGAGUUGUAUUUGAGAUAAUAUAUAAAACCUUGAGUCUAGCAAGUUUCGUGCCGGUGAGUUCAUAUCAAGCGUUGUGCUUAGCAGGCUUCGUGCCGGUGAUUUAUAUCAGGCUCUGUGCCUAGCAGGCUUGUGCCAGUGAUUUAUGUCAAGCUGUGUGCUUAGCAGGCUCCGUGCUAGUGAUUUAUAUCAAGCUCUGUGCCUAGCAGGCUUUGUGCCGGUGUAAUUGUAUUAAGCCUCGAGCUUGGCAGGCUUUGUUUUGGUGUGUUCUAUAGCUAACUGGUAUGGUAAAUGUUGUUUCAAUUAUCUGAUGUUAUUCUAUUUUGGUUUAAUGGGUAAGAAAAGGAAAUGAAAUGGUAAGUUUAUAAUUGGGAUGUAAUAUGAUGUUAUAAAAGAUUUGAUGUGAGAACUAAUGUACUUAUAUGUGAGAAGUCUAUUUAUGCUGUAGAAGAAGUUACUUAAACCAUGGAUAAAUACACUAACUUGUGAAAUGAUAAUGUUGUUUAGGCAUAUGCUAAGCAUUUGGAAUAGAAGGGAAAGUAAGUAAAUAGAAUGAUACAUAAUCUUAUGAAAAGGUUAUUGGUUAUGUAUUGUGACUUAUAAGUUCCAAUAUGUUAUAUAUGAAAAAUAUAUGUGAUGUUGAUGAAUAUAUUCAAUUGUGAGUUGAAUGGUGUUCAAUAUGUUUAUACUAAGUUAAAGUAUUGGUGUUGAAUCAUAUUGAAUCUAUGUAUUAUAGUAUUGAAGUGAUAAGUUAUAUUUCAUGUUCUACGAGCUUACUAAGCAUUCAUUGCUUAUGUAGUCAUCUUUCUCUUACUUUACAGAUUAUCAAAAGCUCUGUUAGGUUGGAAGCUUAUCGGAGAUCUAUCACACUAUCCAGCAAUUAUAUUGGUAGAUUUUGAUAUCUUGAUCAAGGUUAUAAUGGCAUGUUAUAGGUGAAUUGUGUUUGAUGAGAUGUUGUUAUGUUUGGCUUGUAAAUGUAGUAUUAUGGUUGAUGAACUAUUGGCAAAGUGAUCCUUUAAUGGUUAGUGUUGAAAUGGUCAAAUGAAUGUAUGUUGUGAAUGACCAAUUUGGUAUGUUUGAAUGUAAUUUGACCUGUGGUCAUUGUGGCAAGUUUGGUAUGGUAAUAGGAUAAAAAUGCACGAGUGAUGAAUGACUAAAUUAUGCAUAUGUUUAAGUAUGUUUGGUUGUAGUGAUUGAGGUGCCUUUUGGGCAUAUUGGUUGUAUGGAUAAAUGACGUAUUAAAUUGGUCUUAUUAUGCAUGUUUUAGGCUUGUUUUAAGGGUUUGAUUGUAUGUGCAAAUGGAUUGUAGGUGUAUGCUUGUAUUGGGUGAAAGAAACGGCUUGAAAUUAACCACUUUCUUGUCCACACGGUUUAAGACACGAACGUGUGUCUCAGCCGUGUGUGACACAUGGCCAUGCGACACGAUCGUGUGUCCCCGGUAGAUUUUAAGAGUUGUUUUUUGAGAGUUACACGACCUAGCACAUAAGCAUGUGGUUUGGCCAUGUGACCUAACCUAAAGAGUUAUACGGGCUUGGACACAGGUUGGGACAAGGUUGUGUGUCCUUAUUUCGAAUGUUACACAGCCUGAGGCACGGGCGUGUGUCUUAGCCGUG